UUAUAUUGCAGGUGUCAGUGACAAUGUUUUGGUUGGCAAAGAAACUCACUUCUCCGGUACCUGUAAGAAGGAUCUAGGCUGCCUGAAAGUCCACCUGACCUGCCGUGGCUGCAGCUCUCUGCUUGGCAUGGUCUACAUCUCUACACCCAGGAAACUGGACCACAUGAGGUCUCUGUUCUGCCUCAAUGUGACUGCCAUAGAGAGCUAUGUCCUGGGGUCGUCCAGUCAGCAGGUGGCAGCAGUGAGCCCCAAGCAGCAGCCGGUCACUCUGGAGUACAGACAGGCUGUAGAGCGACAACUGGAUGAGGUAA